rnacentral:rRNA from 1 species
GACGAACGCUGGCGGCGUGCUUAACACAUGCAAGUCGAACGGAAAGGCCCUGCUUUUGUGGGGUGCUCGAGUGGCGAACGGGUGAGUAACACGUGAGUAACCUGCCCUUGACUUUGGGAUAACUUCAGGAAACUGGGGCUAAUACCGGAUAGGAGCUCCUGCUGCAUGGUGGGGGUUGGAAAGUUUCGGCGGUUGGGGAUGGACUCGCGGCUUAUCAGCUUGUUGGUGGGGUAGUGGCUUACCAAGGCUUUGACGGGUAGCCGGCCUGAGAGGGUGACCGGCCACAUUGGGCCUGAGAGACGGCGCAGACUCGUACGUGAGGCAGCAGUGGGGAAUAUUGCACAAUGGGCGGACGCCGGAGGCAGAAGCGCCGCGUGCGGGAUGACGGCCUUCGGGUUGUAAACCGCUGUAGCCUGUGACGAAGCGGGAGUGACGGUAAUGGGUAAAGAAGCACCGGCUAACUACGUG